rnacentral:rRNA from 1 species
UACGUAGGUGGCAAGCGUUGUCCGGAUUUAUUGGGUUUAAAGGGUGCGUAGGCGGCGUUGUAAGUCAGUGGUGAAAUAUGGCAGCUCAACUGUCAAGGUGCCAUUGAUACUGCAGAGCUUGAGUACAGAUGAGGUAGGCGGAAUUGACGGUGUAGCGGUGAAAUGCUUAGAUAUCGUCAAGAACACCUAUAGCGAAGGCAGCUUACUAGGCUGUAACUGACGCUGAGGCACGAAAGUGUGGGGAUCAAACAGG